rnacentral:rRNA from 1 species
AUUGAACGCUGGCGGCAUGCCUUACACAUGCAAGUCGAACGGCAGCAUAGGAGCUUGCUCCUGAUGGCGAGUGGCGAACGGGUGAGUAAUAUAUCGGAACGUGCCCAGUCGUGGGGGAUAACGUAGCGAAAGUUACGCUAAUACCGCAUACGAUCUAAGGAUGAAAGCGGGGGAUCGCAAGACCUCGCGCGCUUGGAGCGGCCGAUAUCAGAUUAGGUAGUUGGUGGGGUAAAGGCUCACCAAGCCAUCGAUCUGUAGCUGGUCUGAGAGGACGACCCGCCACACUGGAACUGAGACACGGUCCAGACUCCUACGGGAGGCAGCAGUGGGGAAUUUUGGACAAUGGACGCAAGUCUGAUCCAGCCAUUCCGCGUGCAGGAUGAAGGCCCUCGGGUUGUAAACUGCUUUUGUACGGAACGAAAAGGUCUCUCUUAAUACGGGGGACUCAUGACGGUACCGUAAGAAUAAGCACCGGCUAACUACGUGCCAGCCACCGCAGUAA